rnacentral:rRNA from 1 species
AUUGAACGCUGGCGGCAGGCCUAACACAUGCAAGUCGAACGAGUGGCGGACGGGUGAGUAAUGUCUGGGAAACUGCCUGAUGGAGGGGGAUAACUACUGGAAACGGUAGCUAAUACCGCAUACCAUCGGAUGUGCCCAGAUGGGAUUAGCUAGUAGGGGGGGUAAUGGCUCACCUAGGCGACGAUCCCUAGCUGGUCUGAGAGGAUGACAAGCCACACUGGAACUGAGACACGGUCCAGACGCCUACGGGAGGCAGCAGUGGGGAAUAUUGAACAAUGGGCGGAAGCCUGAUGCAGCCAUGCAGCGUGUAUGAAGAAGGCCUUCGGGUUGUAAAGUACUUUCAGCGGGGAGGCGUUACCCGCAGAAGAAGCACCGGCUAACUCCGGGCCAGCAGCCGCGGUAAUUC